UACGGGGGGGGCAAGCGUUGUUCGGAAUUACUGGGCGUAAAGGGCUCGUAGGUGGCCAACUAAGUCGGACGUGAAAUCCCUCGGCUUAACCGGGGAACUGCGUCUGAUACUGGAUGGCUUGAGUUCGGGAGAGGGAUGCGGAAUUCCAGGUGUAGCGGUGAAAUGCGUAGAUAUGUGGAAGAACACCGGUGGUGAAGACGGUUUUCUGGGCCAAUCCUGACGCUGAGGCGCGAAAGUGUGGGGAGCGAACAGG
rnacentral:rRNA from 1 species